GAUGAACGCUGGCGGCGUGCCUAAUACAUGCCAGUCAAGCGAACAGACGAGGAGCUUGCUCCUCUGACGUUAGCGGCGGACGGGUGAGUAACACGUGGAUAACCUACCUAUAAGACUGGGAUAACUUCGGGAAACCGGAGCUAAUACCGGAUAAUAUAUUGAACCGCAUGGUUCAAUAGUGAAAGACGGUUUUGCUGUCACUUAUAGAUGGAUCCGCGCCGCAUUAGCUAGUUGGUAAGGUAACGGCUUACCAAGGCAACGAUGCGUAGCCGACCUGAGAGGGUGACCGGCCACACUGGAACUGAGACACGGUCCACACUCCUACGGGAGGCAGCAGUAGGGAAUCUUCCGCAAUGGGCGAAAGCCUGACGUAGCAACGCCGCGUGAGUGAUGAAGGUCUUCGGCUCGUAAAACUCUGUUAUUAGGGAAGAACAAAUGUGUAAGUAACUAUGCACGUCUUGACGGUACCUAAUCAGAAAGCCACGGCUAACUACGUG
rnacentral:rRNA from 1 species